rnacentral:rRNA from 1 species
CAGCCGCCACGGUAAUACGUAGGUGGCAAGCGUUGUCCGGAAUUAUUGGGCGUAAAGGGCUCGCAGGCGGUUUCUUAAGUCUGUUGUGAAAGCCCCCGGCUCAACCGGGGAGGGUCAUUGGAAACUGGGAAACUUGAGUGCAGAAGAGGAGAGUGGAAUUCCACGUGUAGCGGUGAAAUGCGUAGAGAUGUGGAGGAACACCAGUGGCGAAGGCGACUCUCUGGUCUGUAACUGACGCUGAGGAGCGAAAGCGUGGGGAGCAAACAGGAUUAGAUACCCGUGUAGUCCCUGUCUCUUAUAC